rnacentral:rRNA from 1 species
UACAGGGGGGGCAAGCGUGGUUCGGAAUUACUGGGCGUAAAGGGCUCGUAGGCGGCCAACUAAGUCACACGUGAAAUCCCCAGGCUUAACCUGGGAACUGCGUGUGAUACUGGAUGGCUUGAAUCCGGGAGAGGGAUGCAGAAUUCCAGGUGUAGCGGUGAAAUGCGUAGAUAUCUGGAGGAAUACCGGUGGCGAAGGCGGCAUCCUGGACCGGCAUUGACGCUGAUGAGCGACAGCUAGUGGAGCAAACGGG